rnacentral:rRNA from 1 species
UACGGAGGGUGCAAGCGUUGUUCGGAAUCAUUGGGCGUAAAGCGCGCGCAGGCGGCUUUCUAAGUCCAGAGGUGAAAUGCCGGGGCUCAACCCCGCGCGUGCCUCGGAUACUGGGAGGCUGGAGACAGGUAGAGGCGAGCGGAAUUCCGGGUGUAGCGGUGAAAUGCGCAGAUAUCAGGAGGAACACCGAUGGCGAAGGCAGGUCUCUGGGCCGAUACUGACGCUGAGGAGCGAAAGCGUGGGGAGCGAACAGG